rnacentral:rRNA from 1 species
GACGUAGGGCGCGAGCGUUGUCCGGAUUUAUUGGGCGUAAAGAGCUCGUAGGCGGCUUGUCGCGUCGACUGUGAAAUCCCGCGGCUCAACUGCGGGUCUGCAGUCGAUACGGGCAGGCUAGAGUUCGGUAGGGGAGACUGGAAUUCCUGGUGUAGCGGUGAAAUGCGCAGAUAUCAGGAGGAACACCGAUGGCGAAGGCAGGUCUCUGGGCAUUAACUGACGCUGAGGAGCGAAAGCGUGGGGAGCGAACAGG